GAAAAAAAAAAAACUGCAAACAUGGCAUGUUUAGGCUUAUUGUCCUCUAGAAAAUUUAGAAAUCACCUAAUAUCAGUGAAAAAUAUGAAUUGCCUUUACAGUAAUCUCCUAAUGUGUAAAUUUUCAUCUUCAUGCCUCAAUUAUUAUUUGCUGAAUGCACUUUUUUCCUUGAAGAAAAUUUUGUAGUUCUGUUUGCAUCAUGAGCAACUAAAUAAUUUAGUUUCAU
rnacentral:misc_RNA from 1 species